rnacentral:sRNA from 2 species
GAUCAUUAUUGAAAUAAAUCUGAUGAGUUGCUGCUGGUUCUCUAGGGAGCAUGUGCACGCUUGUCAUCUUUAUAUCUCCACCUGUGCACCUUUUGUAGACUUGGAUCUCUCUCUGAGUGCUAGCCAUUCAGGAUUGAGGAUUUGACUUUCUGUCUCUUCUUCCAUUUCCAGGCCUAUGUUUUUUCAUAUAUACCCAAUGUAUGUCGUAGAAUGUAAUCAAUGGCCUUUGUGCCAAUAAACCUAUACAACUUUCAGCAACGGAUCUCUUGGCUCUCGCAUCGAUGAAGAACGCAGCGAAAUGCGAUAAGUAAUGUGAAUUGCAGAAUUCAGUGAAUCAUCGAAUCUUUGAACGCACCUUGCGCUCCUUGGUAUUCCGAGGAGCAUGCCUGUUUGAGUGUCAUUAAUAUAUCAACCUCUUCAGCUUUUGCUUGUUGAGUGUUGGAUGUGGGGGUCRUUUUUUGCUGGUCUUUCUCAGGUCAGCUCCCCUGAAAUACAUUAGCGGAACAAUUUGUGGACCGUUCAUUGGUGUGAUAACUAUCUACGCUAUUGACGUGAAGCAGUUCAGCUUCUAACAGUCCAUUGACUUGGACAAAAUUUUUAUUAAUGUGACCUCAAAUCAGGUAGGAUUACCCGCUGAACUUAAGCAUAUCAAUAAGCGGAGGAAAAGAAACUAACAAGGAUUCCCCUAGUAACUGCGAGUGAAGCGGGAAAAGCUCAAAUUUAAAAUCUGUCAGUCUUUGGCUGUCCGAGUUGUAAUCUAGAGAAGUGUUAUCCGCGCUGGA